rnacentral:lncRNA from 1 species
AAAUUGUUAAUUUAAUUUUUCUGAUAUAAUCCAGCAAAUCUUCUGUUGAUUUUGUGGAAUAACUAUAAAAUGGACUAUUAUUUCAUUGCUUAGUAAUAAGUUAUGGCUUGGCAUUGCAAUUAAGGGACAAAAGAGUAUAUGAGAAUUGGUAUAAAAAUUAUGUUAUGCUGAUAUAAAACGUAAAAAACUUCUGUUAAUCCAAUUUUUGACUUUUUAUAUAUCAAUUUUUGAAUAGAUUAUUAUUAUUUUUAAAUUGAUUGAUUCUUGUUUCAAUUAUUGUGAUUUCAAUGCCUCAACUUCAAUUCUUGAAUCAAAAUCAAUCAAUUUAAAAAUAAUAAUAAUCUCUUCACAAAUUGAUAUCUGAAUAAAGUAUCAAUAAAUUGAAAAACCAAAAUAAAUUAGCAAGAUAUUAAUUUUAAUUAAAACUGUUAAAUCGACAGUAACUCCUCUAUUGAAAAAUCAACUAAUAUAUGGCAUUGCAUUGAAAAUUGCAGUUACAAGAAAGAGACGUUGUUCCUGGCUAUUUGUUGAAUUAAUGCAUUUUUGGCUUCUUAACUUUUCAUUAGUUGCCCCCUAUCUUCUCCUCCUUUUGCAUUUUUCAAUUUUGACUUGAUUAAAGUUGAUGUGAGGUGAACGUCAUGUACGUAAUUUUUUUAAUUAAAAAAAUUGUAUAUCAAGAGCCACCACCUCAUCUUCUCUACCUCCUCAUCUUCCAAGGGCCACCACCUCUAUUCUCACCACUUUAACAUCAAUCAUCCACCAUACAUACCAUUUUCCAUUCAACAACACCACCAUCCAUAACUUCAUAGAAUUCACCCCCAAGAACACAACCAUAAUCUUUCUCAUCCAAUAAAAAUUUGUUUAAUAAGGAGGUCUGUUGAUCUAUAUGAUAAUUAAGGGGUUAACUUUUUAGUUUAAUCGUGAAUAAGUUGAAUGUUUAUAAACUUUAAUAACAAAUUGAGAUUAGGUUAAUGCAAAAUUAACACUCACAAUCAAAUGGUAUAUAUCACAAUUAGAUUGUUGAAAGUAAAAGGAUAACAGAAAUAAGAAUGUGGGUGUAGAGGGUUGUCAUGAAAAUUAAAUAAAUUAGAGAAACUUUGAAUUAAUUC